CAGCAGCCGCGGUAAAACGGAGGGUGCAAGCGUUAAUCGGAAUUACUGGGCGUAAAGCGCACGCAGGCGGUCUGUCAAGUCAGAUGUGAAAUCCCCGGGCUUAACCUGGGAACUGCAUUUGAAACUGGCAGGCUAGAGUCUUGUAGAGGGGGGUAGAAUUCCAGGUGUAGCGGUGAAAUGCGUAGAGAUCUGGAGGAAUACCGGUGGCGAAGGCGGCCCCCUGGACAAAGACUGACGCUCAGGUGCGAAAGCGUGGGGAGCAAACAGGAUUAGAUACCCCAGUAGUCCCUGUCUCUUAUAC
rnacentral:rRNA from 1 species